rfam:Glaciecola sp. HTCC2999 ctg1100007007373, whole genome shotgun sequence.
UCAGAUAUAUAGUGGACUAGGGUCCAAAAAUUUGUAAAAAGCCCCUGCUUGUAAGGGGCUUUUUUCGUUUAUGCGGUAUCAAAAUGGGCUUUAUGCCCUUUUUUC